rnacentral:rRNA from 1 species
AUUGAACGCUGGCGGAAUGCUUUACACAUGCAAGUCGAGCGGCAGCGCGGGGGCAACCCUGGCGGCGAGCGGCGAACGGGUGAGUAAUGUAUCGGAACGUACCCAGUCGUGGGGGAUAACUAUCCGAAAGGAUAGCUAAUACCGCAUACGACCUGAGGGUGAAAGCGGGGGACCGUAAGGCCUCGCGCGAUUGGAGCGGCCGAUAUCGGAUUAGCUAGUUGGUGAGGUAAAGGCUCACCAAGGCGACGAUCCGUAGCUGGUCUGAGAGGACGACCAGCCACACUGGAACUGAGACACGGUCCAGACUCCUACGGGAGGCAGCAGUGGGGAAUUUUGGACAAUGGGGGGCAACCCUGAUCCAGCCAUUCCGCGUGAGUGAAGAAGGCC